AUUGAACGCUGGCGGCAUGCUUUACACAUGCAGGUCGAACGGUAACAGCACUUCGGUGGCUGACGAGUGGCGAACGGGUGCGUAAUACAUCGGAACGUGCCUAGUAGUGGGGGAUAACUACUCGCAAGAGUAGCUAAUACCGCAUGAGAUCUAAGGAUGAAAGCAGGGGACCUUCGGGCCUUGCGCUACUAGAGCGGCUGAUGGCAGAUUAGGUAGUUGGUGGGAUAAAAGCUUACCAAGCCGACGAUCUGUAGCUGGUCUGAGAGGACGACCAGCCACACUGGGACUGAGACACGGCCCAGACUCCUACGGGAGGCAGCAGUGGGGAAUUUUGGACAAUGGGCGCAAGCCUGAUCCAGCAAUGCCGCGUGCAGGAUGAAGGCCUUCGGGUUGUAAACUGCUUUUGUACGGAACGAAAAGCCCUCUUCUAAUACAGGAGGGUCAUGACGGUACCGUAAGAAUAAGCACCGGCUAACUACGUG
rnacentral:rRNA from 1 species